CCAAAUGCGUCCCCCCGCUAACCAUAACAGGAGUCAACAGAGAAGCUUUCGGGGUGGAGCAGCUCUGCCAACACAUUCGGCAGAAGUAAAAAUGGAGCUCGGAGUCAGUCAGCGAUAAAAAAUUAUGAACCGUCACGUAUCAUCCGUCCCUUUACUCACUAGUCCGCCUUUUGAUCUGACGAAGAAGUGAUCGCAGAAACCAGUGGGGCAGCCUCUGCUUGUAUGGCGGGUCUGUCUUAUUUAGUGCUCCGAUUUUCGGGCUCCGCUGGUCGGACUUACGGAGUGUUUUCAAAAGGCUUGACGAGGACUUUGUUGAUAUUUUUUGAUCUCGCAUGGCGACUGCGAAUCAGGUUCCCCUACAUCUACCUUGUCGCUUCGAUGAUGUUUAAUGUCAGAUUGCAGGUCCACAUAGAAAUCCACUGAAUCAUCAAUGCCUGUAUUUGCACUUGGAUUCGGUACACCAUAAGCACUGCCAUGAUUCAGACCUCUGUCUGACACUGCACAGCCAUGUGGAGGAAGAGGAGGCUUGUUUCUGCAAACUGCUGUCACAGUGCAAUGAAGUGACGAGGCUCGCCGCCGUCUGCCCUCGUCACUUGAGUCCAGUGCCUUUGCAGGAGAAAGGACAGCAGUGAUAUCUGCAAAAGAAAUGAGCCGCGGUGAUGGGUGAGAAGAUGCCUCACGCUCACCUGUGUGGAGUGCCACCUGAGAUUCAAGAGCCGUCAGUCCUGACCAGGAGGAUUGUGUCGGAUGAAGGAUGGAUUUUGAUACUGUCUCUCUCUGGAUGUAAAGGACUCUGGCAUGGUUUUGAUUCUGGAAACAGAUGAUUGUCACUGUGUAGCUUUGUAGCUUUUCCUCAUUGUGACCUGUAUGUUUCUUAAACUGUCAGUGUUAACAUCUCACUUUAAUUUAACAGAUAAACCUUGAAACCGCAUGACACAUACAGGCAUGUUUUUGUCCUCUGUGGCAUGGACACUUUACUGGAGGCUGGGGUUAGCUUUUGAAAGCGGUACAUUGUCUUUCAACAGGAGGUCGUUGUAGUAUAACAGUACAGCUACAAUACACCACAACUGUUCUACUGGAAAUUUAGUCUGUUAUUAUUUCAGUCUCACAGGGAUUCACCGCAUGUAUUCUUUGUGUUGGUACACGCAGGUCUUCAUGCUCAUUGUUGUGUUUCAGCCGCACUGGGAAAAGGCUUUGUUGGUGAAAAAAGUUACAUCCAAAAAAAUAUUGUAGCUGCAUCUUUACUUCUGUGAAAAGUGUUUGUAAGGGUUACUGAAGUCACUGAAUUAAGGGUCUGGAUGAAUUGAUUUUGGAAGUAUUAAAUUGAUGAAAUCACCA